rnacentral:lncRNA from 1 species
GUUCAAUGAGAUUUGCUACUUCUUACUAUAUUACCAAACAUUUUUUUUCAGGCUCUGAUAUCUACUUUCUGUGUCUAUUUUCAAAAAAUAUCUAAGUUGGUUAGCAAGUGUAAUUUCUAAUGUGCCACAUCAGUUGUGAUCCAAAGCCUCAGGUAACACAUCUGAUACAUUGGUUUUGUGAUCUUGGUGGUUACUUUAAUUUUCUCAGCCCAUGUUUCUUCAUUUAUAAAAUGGGAUGGGGUGGAUUUAACAGCUUUAUUAGCAUAGGAACUUGAUGCAAUUAGCAGUCUCUUCCACAAACUUCAGCAUCUGAGGAACCCAUAAGUAAUCUCUUGUCUAAUUCCAUUCUUCAUUGGACACCUUCCUGGACAAUGGCCAAGACCUUGGGGAAGUAUAGAAUGAUGUCUCUCCUGGAGAAGAAGAGCACAGCACCUCCAUUGAUGUGGUCAUGCCAUGCUGGACAGUCUUAUGCCAGUGACUUCCAUGGCACAGAACUGAUGCUAAAGUUCUUCAGAGAGGCUUUGAGCAUAUUCUUGUAUCACUUCUGACCUUGUGAGUGCUUAUCUUGUGUGAGUUAAUGCAUUAGAUAAACUCUGCUUAUUAUUUUUUCACUG